rnacentral:lncRNA from 1 species
UCAUCAGUCGUCAUUAUUUAAAACCCUCACCCCGCCGUCGAUCGCCACCUUGGCAUUCAACCUCUGCCGUUGUUCCCUUUUUGUCAUUUCCUUCACCAAUAUCUUUGGUCCCUAAUCUCCCUCCUAACAAUCGGUCCCUAAUCUCCCUCCUAACAAUCCACUCUUCUCCCUUCCUUUCUGAACUCACCACCGGUCUCCCACUCCCUAUAUCUAGUUUUGUUUAAUAAAUCCACCGUCCAAGAUUACACGCCAUCGAUCGACCAUUCCCCACCCAUCCCCUUCUCUUUUCAAAUCAUAAGCUCACCACCGCUAAAUUCUCUUUUCCCCCUCUCCAUUCAUCAACCCUUUCCCCCUUUCCCCAUCUUUUGUUUCUCUCUCGCUGCUGAUGGCACCUUACCUUUCCUCUUCACUGCCAAUCAAUCAUCCUUAGACCUAGGGGUGAGCAAAAUUCGAUUCGACUCAAAAAAAUCGAAAAAAAUUCGAAUUUUGAGUUAAACGAAUCGAGUUAUUCGAGUUAAUCGAGUUAUUCGAAUCAACUCGAAUUUUUUUUUCGAAUUUCGAGUUCGAAUCGAGUUGAGUUUUCGAAUUCGAAUAACUCGAAUAAUUCGAAUAAUUCGAAUAUGAAACUAUAAUAUUUUACAGUUUUACCCUAAACUCCCAAACUUUUUACUUUUCCCUCAAAACUUUUACUCCUUCCCACUUUUCCCCCAAAACUUUUACUCCCCUCCCCUCCCAACCCCCAAUCUACCCAAAAUCCAUUUCCCACCAAAAUUUUACUCUUCCAUUAAUUUUUUUUCAAAAUUUUACUCUCAAAAACCCUCAAAACUUUUUAUUUUCCCCCAAAAUUUUUACUCCCUCCCACUUUUCCCCUAAAACUUUUAUUCUCUUCCCAUCCCACCUCCCAUCUACCCCAAACCCUCCCCCUCCAAAUUUUUUUUAAUAUUUUCCCUCCAAAAUUUUACUCCCCCUAUUUACUUUCCCUCAAACUUUUAUUCCCCAAAAAAUUUUAUUUUUCCCCUAAACUUUUACUUCUCACCCUUUACUCUCAAAUAAAACAUCAAAAUUAUCAAAAAAAAUCACUAAACAUAAAUAGUAAUAAUUUUAUUUAUAUAUACUAUUUAUAUUAUUAAAUUAAAUUUCACAUUUUAUAUUAUAUAUAUUAUUGAAUUGUUUAGUCAUAUUGAAUAUUUAUAUUAAAAUUGAAUUCUUAAUUAUGCCAUAAAAUAUUGGUGUUAAAAUUUUAUAUUGGUAUCAAUUUCAAAUUUUAUUUUUAAAAUAAAUUUUAUUAAAAAAUCAUAUUUUUAUAUUUAAUAUAUUUUUAAUUCCAAAAUACAUAGUGACAAGAAUCCAAAGAUAAUUGAAACAACUAAGCAAACAAAUAAGCUAACCAGUAUAUAAAAAAUUAAUAAAUAAAUUAUGAGGUGAUGAAAGUUAAUAAAAAAUUUGAUUAAGGUGGACAAAUUUUAUUACGAUGGGUGACAAUGGUUACAAGGACCCAAAAUUAUUUUUUAAAAUUUAACUCGAACAAAUAUAUUCGAUUCAAUUCGAUUCGAAUUCCAUCUCACUCGACUCGAUUCGAGAAAACUUCAAAUAAAGUUAGGAUGAUAAAAUGAGAUUCGAAAACUCGAUUAACUCGAAAAUUUUCGAUUCGAUUCGAUUCAAUUCGAUCGAAUGCUCACCCCUACUUAGACCACUUCGCCCACAAGCCACCGUCGU